CAACAACUGAGCUCAAUGCCUUGAGGGCCUUCCAGGGACAGCAGCCUACUCACAAAAAGGUGGACAUGAAAGGAAAAUAAUUGAAAACUACUAGCAUCACUGACCUUGACAUCUGGAUCUGUUUAUUAACACAAAAGAAAACAUGGGUAACACCAACUGAAGAACUGUAAUCAAAACAAUGAAGAAAAAGGCUCAGCACAAAGACAAUAUCACAAUGGGAUCAGAAAGUUGAUCUGGGCAGCUCAAGACGAGACAAGACAACGAAGAAUGUUUGGUGUGAGUUUUCUAGUUCUGGCUCAUUUAUUCUCUUCCUUGGUGGGCCUGAUCUUCAUCUCUGUGAACUUCAGCGAGUACUGCCACCCUGUCCAGGACGACCACUCAAUGCCGUCAGCGUAGGAGGUGUGCUGGCCGCGAAGGUGCUGUUCAUGGUGAGUUCAAAGCUUGACGAUGGCAUUUGAGCGGAUGGCCACAGUCUACUGGCAGAAUAAGAUUGUGGAUGACUCCUACUUUAGGAAAUGUUUAAUGUUACUUAAAUUGGUGCUAUUUAGUGCAUUGUCUUUAUAUUGUGGAAGGGUUUGUUUGGAAAAUGUUA